AAGUCGUAACACAGGUCUCCGUUGGUGAACCAGCGGAGGGAUCAUUACUGAGUAUACUACAACUCUCUACCCUUUGUGAACUAUUAUACCUGUUGCUUCGGCGGCGCCCGCAAGGGUGCCCGCCGGUCUCAUCCAGAAUCUCUGUUUUCGAACCCGACGAUACUUCUGAGUGUUCUUAGCGAACUGUCAAAACUUUUAACAACGGAUCUCUUGGCUCCAACGCAUCGAUGAAGAACGCAGCGAAACGCGAUAUGUAAUGUGAAUUGCAGAUUCAGUGAAUCAUCGAAUCUUUGAACGCACAUGGCGCCCUUCCAGUAUCCUGGAGGCUGCCUGUCCGAGCGUCGUUUCAACCCUCGAGCCCCUGUGGCCGGCGUUGGGGAUCUGCCACGGCAGGCCCCUAAAACCAGUGGCGGACCCGAAGGCCCUCUCCUUUGCGCAGUAGCAUUCGCCUCGCAUCGGGUAGUCCUCGGCGUCCUGCCUCUAAACCCCCCACAAGCCGCUUCGGCGGCACCAAGGUUGACCUCGGAUCAGGUAGGAUACCCGCUGAACUUAA
rnacentral:rRNA from 1 species